GUAACAGUUCUUGCAUGGCGGCUUACGGAGUUUCGCCCGUUGUAGUUUUAGUUUUAAUUUUUUCCAUUGAAAUUUUUUUCCGUUCCAUUUAUAAUUGGAUUACGAAAUUCCUUCGUUAUCAGUCCUACAUUUUGUUUGAGUGAUCUCUUUCAUCUGUCGUCCGCAUCUGACAAAGUGUUUUGGUUCUUCUUCGACAUGUCUUGGAGGUGUUGUGUUUCUGGUUGUGGUUCCGAAGGAGUACCUUUAUUUCGUAUUCCAAAAUUUAAUGAAAGUUUAAAAACUGCUUUGAAAGAAAAAAAAAGGAACGAAGAAUUGUUUGGCUUCAAAAGCUUAACGUGAAGGAAUGUGACUUAAACAACAACACUCGUGUUUGCUCUCGUCAUUUUGCAUCUGGUAGGCCAUGUAAGAAUUCUUUCGAUAACUCUCACCCAGACUGGGCACCUUCACUACACAUCAGAAAUUCCAUUUUUGACAGGGUUGUACAGAGAAACAUUAGUCGACAUUCCAGAAGGCUUGAAAGGAAAUCAAGAACAUUGGAA